UCCCGUGUGGCUCAGUUGGUAGAGCAUGGUGUUUGCAACGCCAGGGUUGUGGGUUCGAUUCCCACGAGGGAC
rfam:Salmo salar isolate Sally breed double haploid chromosome ssa11, whole genome shotgun sequence.